AUGGACAAACUCCAGUAUGAGCAACCUAUCAAUGGGGGCAAUACCAUGAUUAUAUUUCCCUCUUCAUCGUUUCUGCAAGGAAGGAUGUCAAAGGUUCAGAAUAAAGUUCAAGUUGAUGCUUCAGAGCCUAUUCUUCCGCUGGCCGAUAGAUCCAUUGGAGAAUGCUCUGAGACGCGAAGAAAUGUUCGCCAUGUGAACCUUCACAAUAUUAAGGUCAGCAAAGUUUGUGUCCAAUUCCCCAAGAGUGUGGACAACAAUCAUCCAGACCGCCUUUUUCAUAUCAGCAAGGGUGGUAUAAGAAUUCAUACUAUGGUGACUAGAAACCCUUCAACAGUUGUUGCCUUCAUCAGAUUCAUCUGGAAAAAGUAUCUUAAUCAUGCCAAGUGGCGUGUUGUCAGCCUUGACUGUGAAUACACUAGAUAUGUCCACGGCAAAGAGCGCAAGAAGCUUCUACUUGAGCAACAAGUUGCUCUCUCUAAUCAAGAGCCACAACGUGCUGCCGUCUUGCAGCUUUGUGUGGGCAAGCAUUGCCUAAUUUACCAGCUAUACCAGGCUCAUGCUAGGAGUUUUAUCCCUCCACUUCUGCGCAACUUCCUUGACAAUGACACAGUCGAAUUUGCGGGUGCCGCCAUUGGCAAUGACAUAGAAAAACUCAAGUUCUAUAACUUGGGUAUUAGAAAACCUGUUGAUGUGCAGGGACUGGGUAUCAAGGUUCCUUACCAAAAAGUAGUCAAUUUGGCUUCAUUGGAGAAGCUAGCAAAGAAGGUUGUAAAUAUAAGUCUUAACAAGGACAAAAACAUCACUGUCAGUCAGUGGGAAAAGUCCAACCUCGACAAUGACCAGAUAAAGUAUGCAUGUCUGGAUGCCUAUGUGAGCUUCGAGGUUUAUAGGCGGCAUUCCAACAUAACUGGUUAUCUUAGGACCCGCUGA
rnacentral:rRNA from 1 species